CGAGCGAACAGACGAGGAGCUUGCUCCUCUGACGUUAGCGGCGGACGGGUGAGUAACACGUGGAUAACCUACCUAUAAGACUGGGAUAACUUCGGGAAACCGGAGCUAAUACCGGAUAAUAUAUUGAACCGCAUGGUUCAAUAGUGAAAGACGGUUUUGCUGUCACUUAUAGAUGGAUCCGCGCCGCAUUAGCUAGUUGGUAAGGUAACGGCUUACCAAGGCAACGAUGCGUAGCCGACCUGAGAGGGUGAUCGGCCACACUGGAACUGAGACACGGUCCAGACUCCUACGGGAGGCAGCAGUAGGGAAUCUUCCGCAAUGGGCGAAAGCCUGACGGAGCAACGCCGCGUGAGUGAUGAAGGUCUUCGGAUCGUAAAACUCUGUUAUUAGGGAAGAACAAAUGUGUAAGUAACUAUGCACGUCUUGACGGUACCUAAUCAGAAAGCCACGGCUAACUACGUGCCAGCAGCCGCGGUAAUACGUAGGUGGCAAGCGUUAUCCGGAAUUAUUGGGCGUAAAGCGCGCGUAGGCGGUUUUUUAAGUCUGAUGUGAAAGCCCACGGCUCAACCGUGGAGGGUCAUUGGAAACUGGAAAACUUGAGUGCAGAAGAGGAAAGUGGAAUUCCAUGUGUAGCGGUGAAAUGCGCAGAGAUAUGGAGGAACACCAGUGGCGAAGGCGACUUUCUGGUCUGUAACUGACGCUGAUGUGCGAAAGCGUGGGGAUCAAACAGGAUUA
rnacentral:rRNA from 1 species